GCUCUGGUAGCUCAGGGGUUAGAGCAUGCGAUUGCAGAUCGCAGGGUCGAUCGUUCGAAUCGGUCUCAGAGCU
rfam:Tuber melanosporum whole genome shotgun sequence assembly, scaffold_46, strain Mel28